GUUCCCGUGGUGUAGUGGUGAUCACGUGCGCCUCACACGCGCAAGAUCCCCGGUUCGAUCCCGGGCGCGAACA
rnacentral:tRNA from 1 species